CUGACGAGUCCCAGAUAGGACGAAACGCGCGUC
rnacentral:hammerhead_ribozyme from 1 species